rnacentral:rRNA from 1 species
CCUACGGGAGGCAGCAGUGAGGAAUAUUGGUCAAUGGGCGCGAGCCUGAACCAGCCAAGUCGCGUGAGGGAAGACGGUCCUAUGGAUUGUAAACCUCUUUUGUCGGGGAGCAAAAGACGCCACGCGUGGCGUUCCGAGAGUACCCGAAGAAAAAGCAUCGGCUAACUCCGUGCCAGCAGCCGCGGUAAUACGGAGGAUGCGAGCGUUAUCCGGAUUUAUUGGGUUUAAAGGGAGCGUAGGCCGCAUGGCAAGCGUGCUGUGAAAUGUGCGGGCUCAACCCGGGCCUUGCAGGGCGAACUGGCGGUCGUGAGUGCGCGGAAAGCAGGCGGAAUUCGUGGUGUAGCGGUGAAAUGCUUAGAUAUGACGAAGAACUCCGAUUGCGAAGGCAGCUUGCUGCAGCGGAACUGACGCUGAUGCUCGAAAGCGCGGGUAUCGAACAGGAUUAGAUACCCCGGUAGUC